UACGAAGGGGGCUAGCGUUGCUCGGAAUCACUGGGCGUAAAGCGCACGUAGGCGGAUCUUUAAGUCAGGGGUGAAAUCCCGGGGCUCAACCUCGGAACUGCCCUUGAUACUGGGGAUCUCGAGUCCGGAAGAGGUUGGUGGAACUCCGAGUGUAGAGGUGAAAUUCGUAGAUAUUCGGAAGAACACCAGUGGCGAAGGCGGCCAACUGGUCCGGCACUGGACGCUGAGGUGCGGAAAGCGUGGGGAGCAAACAGG
rnacentral:rRNA from 1 species